AGAGUUUGAUCCUGGCUCAGAUUGAACGCUGGCGGCAUGCCUUACACAUGCAAGUCGAACGGCAGCACGGGAGCAAUCCUGGUGGCGAGUGGCGAACGGGUGAGUAAUGUAUCGGAACGUACCUUUCAGUGGGGGAUAACGUAGCGAAAGUUACGCUAAUACCGCAUAUUCUGUGAGCAGGAAAGCAGGGGAUCGCAAGACCUUGCGCUGAUUGAGCGGCCGAUAUCAGAUUAGCUAGUUGGUGAGGUAAAGGCUCACCAAGGCGACGAUCUGUAGCGGGUCUGAGAGGAUGAUCCGCCACACUGGAACUGAGACACGGUCCAGACUCCUACGGGAGGCAGCAGUGGGGAAUUUUGGACAAUGGGGGCAACCCUGAUCCAGCCAUGCCGCGUGAGUGAAGAAGGCCUUCGGGUUGU
rnacentral:rRNA from 1 species